rnacentral:rRNA from 1 species
GAGUUUGAUCCUGGCUCAGAUUGAACGCUGGCGGCAGGCCUAACACAUGCAAGUCGAACGGUAACAGAAAGCAGCUUGCUGCUUUGCUGACGAGUGGCGGACGGGUGAGUAAUGUCUGGGAAACUGCCUGAUGGAGGGGGAUAACUACUGGAAACGGUAGCUAAUACCGCAUAACGUCGCAAGACCAAAGAGGGGGACCUUCGGGCCUCUUGCCAUCGGAUGUGCCCAGAUGGGAUUAGCUUGUUGGUGGGGUAACGGCUCACCAAGGCGACGAUCUCUAGCUGGUCUGAGAGGAUGACCAGCCACACUGGAACUGAGACACGGUCCAGACUCCUACGGGAGGCAGCAGUGGGGAAUAUUGCACAAUGGGCGCAAGCCUGAUGCAGCCAUGCCGCGUGUAUGAAGAAGGCCUUCGGGUUGUAAAGUACUUUCAGCGGGGAGGAAGGGAGUAAAGUUAAUACCUUUGCUCAUUGACGUUACCCGCAGAAGAAGCACCGGCUAACUCCGUGCCAGCAGCCG